CCAAACCAUUACAGCAGUGGGUCAUUUGCAUUUUUUAGUUACAAAGAAAAACCUAGUAAUUUUUAUUUACACAAGAAAACUUAACUAUGUAACAAAUAUUUUGAUUAUUAGCUAACCAGCGAGCGACAGAGGCGGAGUUAAGAAAUUAAGUAAAAGUGAACAUUUUUAAAAUUUCAAACUCUCUUUUUUAAUGAGAAAUCAACAUAAUUUUUUAAGGAAAUCCC
rnacentral:lncRNA from 1 species